rnacentral:rRNA from 1 species
AUUGAACGCUGGCGGCAUGCUUUACACAUGCAAGUCGAACGGUAACAGGCCGCAAGGUGCUGACGAGUGGCGAACGGGUGAGUAAUGCAUCGGAACGUGCCCAGUCGAGGGGGAUAACGCAGCGAAAGCUGCGCUAAUACCGCAUACGAUCUAUGGAUGAAAGCGGGGGACCGUAAGGUCUCGCGCGAUUGGAGCGGCCGAUGUCAGAUUAGGUAGUUGGUGGGGGAAAGGCUCACCAAGCCAACGAUCUGUAGCUGGCCUGAGAGGACGACCAGCCAGACUGGGACUGAGACACGGCCCAGACUCCUACGGGAGGUAGCAGUGGGGAAUUUUGGACAAUGGGCGCAAGCCGGAUCCAGCAAUGCCGCGUGCAGGAAGAAGGCAUUCGGGUUGUAAACUGCUUUUGUACGGAACGAAACGGUCCUGGUUAAUGCCUGGGGCUAAUGACGGUACCGUAAGAAUAAGCACCGGCUAACUACGUGCCAGCCGCUGCCGUAACAC